rnacentral:rRNA from 1 species
CCUACGGGGGGCAGCAGUGGGGAAUAUUGCACAAUGGGGGAAACCCUGAUGCAGCGACGCCGCGUGAGUGAAGAAGUAAUUCGUUAUGUAAAGCUCUAUCAGCAGGGAAGAAAAUGACGGUACCUGAGUAAGAAGCCCCGGCUAACUACGUGCCAGCAGCCGCGGUAAUACGUAGGGGGCAAGCGUUAUCCGGAUUUACUGGGUGGAAAGGGAGCGUAGACGGCAGUGCAAGUCUGGAGUGAAAGGCGGGGGCUCAACCCCCGGACUGCUCUGGAAACUGUACGGCUGGAGUGCAGGAGAGGUAAGUGGAAUGCCUAGGGUAGCGGUGAAAUGCGUAGAUAUUAGGAGGAACACCAGUGGCGAAGGCGGCUUACUGGACUGUAACUGACGUUGAGGCUCGAAAGCGUGGGGAGCAAACAGGAUUAGAUACCCUUGUAGUC